UACGUAGGGGGCAAGCGUUGUUCGGAAUUACUGGGCGUAACGGGCGCGUAGGCGGCCCAGCAAGUCGGGAGUGAAAGCCCGGGGCUCAACCCCGGAAUGGCUUUCGAAACUGCUGAGCUAGAGUACAGAAGGGGCAACCGGAAUUCCCAGUGUAGCGGUGAAAUGCGUAGAUAUUGGGAAGAACACCUGAGGCGAAGGCGGGUUGCUGGGCUGAUACUGACGCUGAGGCGCGAAAGCCAGGGGAGCAAACGGG
rnacentral:rRNA from 1 species